rnacentral:lncRNA from 1 species
GAAAACAGUGGGAAUAAAAUAAAAAACAACCAAAAGGAGGACAGAUGCAAAUGAAUGUGGUCCUCUUGGGGGAGAUUAUGCUUCCACAGAAGGGAGGAAAAGAAGAAUAGUAGUAGGGGCCUUAGAGAAACUUAGAAUGUUGAGCUUCAAUGCACUAGUUACAUGUUGCAUCUGCUGACGAUAACAAAGACCCCUAAACAGUGGCUUAAGGAAAAUAAAUGUUCUCCUAGUCUGGAGGUGGGCAGUCCAGGUUGGGUAGCCCUUUGGCACCAGAUACCCAGGGUCCUUCUGUCUUUGGCUCUGCCAACUCAACCCAGAAGCUUCAUGCUCACCUCAUCUGAGUCAAGAUGGCUGCUCAAGCUCAGCUACUAUCACCCAAUGCCAGACAAUAGGGAGGAGGAGCAAAAGGGGGUGAAUGGACCCCUUCCCAUUCUAUGGGUCUUUCCAGAAUCCACACAGAAUCUUCCAUUCGCCCCUCAUUGGAUAGAAUUUUGUCACAUGGCCACAUCUUGUUAUAAGAGAAGCUGGGAAAUAUAAUGUUUAGUUGGACACACUGCUAUCUCAAAUAAAUUCAAGGCUGCUAUGGACAGAAUUGUGUCCCCACCUCCCUGCAAAAACUCAUUUGAAGUUCCAUUCCCCAGUCUGACACUAUUUGGAGAUGGGGGCUUUAGGGGGGUAAAUAAGGUUCAACGAGUCCAUGAGGGUGGAACUCUAAUCUGAGAGGAUAUGUGGCCUCCUAAGAAGAGGAAGAAUCCAAAUCAGCCAGUUCCUUGAUCUUGGAUUUCCAACCCCCAGAACCAUGGGAGAAAUUUGUUGUUUAAGCUGCCCAGUCUGUGCUAUUUUGUAUGGUGGCCCAAGCACACUAAUAGGGACAGUGCUGUUUCUAAGGGGGUGAGAAGGGGGAGCCGGAAAGAACACUGGCCAACUCCCCUGCAAUCCCAAACUGACACAGGGAUUCUGGGUGAGGUCACCCAGAACCAAGUGAGGACAGGUGUUGGCCUCCCACAGGGCCACUGCACGACCACUUCUACCUCUAAACCGUAGUUUCCUGAUAAAGCAGGCAGGGUGACUGGCAGGCCCUCAGGAGUUUUCAUUCAGGGCUGGUGCAGCUCAACUGUAACUUUAGGAGCCUGUUGUUUUAUAAUGCAAUGCUGCAGAGUGG